rnacentral:rRNA from 1 species
CUCGACUGCGACCCCAGGUCAGGCGGGA